GUUUGGUCCGAGUGCAGUGGUGUUUCCAACUAAUUGAUCACAACCAGUUACAGAUACCUUUGUUCCUUCUCCACUCCCACUGCUUCACCUGACCAGGAAAA
rnacentral:Y_RNA from 1 species